rnacentral:rRNA from 1 species
UUGGAAACUGAUUUAUUUGAGUGCGAAAGAGGAAAGUGGAACUCCAUGUGUAGCGGUGAAAUGCGUAGAUAUGUGGAAGAACACCAGUGGCGAAAGCGGCUUGCUAGAUCGUAACUGACGUUGAGGCUCGAAAGUAUGGGUAGCAAACGGGAUUAGAUACCCCGGUAGUCCAUACCGUAAACGAUGGGUGCUAGUUGUUAAAAGGUUUCCGCCUCCUAGUGACGUAGCAAACGCAUUAAGCACCCCGCCUGAGGAGUACGGCCGCAAGGCUAAAACUUAAAGGAAUUGACGGGGACCCGCACAAGCGG